CAGUGAUUGCAUUUUCAGCAAUACUGAAUUUGAGCAAAAUGGUGACGCGCUUCCUAUGUCGGAAAUAGCUUCAGACAAAGCACUUGUGUAAGGGUGGAGCCUGCUGACAGGACUGAACUGCCAAGUUUGAGUUCGAGUUUGAUCUGUGCCCAGAUAAAAGACUGCCUGCGUUGUCACUGAGCUUCGGCUCCAGAAAAAUGGGCAAGAUUCUGGAAACAUCAUUUUUAGUGCUAGGCCUUCACCUAACCUGGGUGAGUGGCCAACAGAAGGACAGAAGUGACCAGCAGCAGGUGACGCAAAGUCCUCAGUCUCUGACAGUCCAGGAAGGAGGGACUCCAGUUCUGAACUGCACUUAUGAGAACAGCGCAUUUGGCUACUUCCCGUGGUACCGGCAAUUCCCCGGGAAAGGCCCUGAACUACUGAUAGCCAUACGUUCAGUUCUGAAUAAAAAUGAAGAUGGGCGCUUCACGGUCUUCUUCAGUAAAAGUGAGAAGCAGCUCUCCCUGCACAUCACAGCCUCUCAGCCUGCAGACUCGGCCACCUACUUCUGUGCGGCAGGAACACAGUGCUCCCCAGGCGCCUGCAGUCAGCACACAAACCUGCACCUGAGGCUCCAGCAAAACCCUGCUGCGGGCUGA